rnacentral:rRNA from 1 species
CCUACGGGUGGCAGCAGUGAGGAAUAUUGGUCAAUGGGCGCGAGCCUGAACCAGCCAAGUAGCGUGAAGGAUGACUGCCCUACGGGUUGUAAACUUCUUCUAUAAAGGAAUAAAGUGAUGCACGUGUGCCUUUUUGUAUGUAUUUUAUGAAUAAGGAUCGGCUAACUCCGUGCCAGCAGCCGCGGUAAUACGGAGGAUCCGAGGGUUAUCCAGAUUUAUUGGGUUUAAAGGGAGCGUAGAUGGUUUGUUAUGUCCGUUGUUAAAGUGUGCGGCUCAACCGUAAAAUUGCAAGUGAUACUGGUAGCCUUGAUUACAGUUGAGGUAGGCGGAAUUCGUGGUGUAGCGGUGAAA